CCCUUAGAUGUCCUGGGCCGCACGCGCGUUACACUGAUGCAUUCAACGAGCUUAUAACCUUGGCCGAGAGGCCUGGGCAAUCUUGUUAACGUGCAUCUUGAUAGGGAUAGAUUAUUGAAAUUAUUAAUCUUGAACGAGGAAUUCCUAGUAAACGCAGAUCAUCAAUCUGCAUUGAUUACGUCCCUGCCCUUUGUACACACCGCCCGUCGCACCUACCGAUUGGAUGGUCCGGUGAAGCCUCGGGAUUGUGGUUCUUGCCGCUUUAUUGUGGCGUGACCGCGAGAACUUGUCUAAACCUUAUCAUCUAGAGGAAGGUGAAGUCGUAACA
rnacentral:rRNA from 1 species